CGGUAGGGCGAGUAAAGCAGUAAUGCGCUUGGGGAUGGGCCUGCGGCGGAUUAGCUAGUUGGUGGGGUAACGGCCUACCAAGGCGAUGAUCCGUAGGGGGCGUGAGAGCGUGGCCCCCCACACUGGCACUGAGACACGGGCCAGACUCCUACGGGAGGCAGCAGUGAGGAAUAUUGCACAAUGGGCGCAAGCCUGAUGCAGCAACGCCGCGUGAGGGACGAAGGCCUUCGGGUCGUAAACCUCUUUUCUGGGGGACGAGUAAGGACGGUACCUCAGGAAUAAGUCUCGGCUAACUACGUGCCAGCAGCCGCGGUAAAACGUAGGAGGCGAGCGUUAUCCGGAUUUACUGGGCGUAAAGCGUACGCAGGUGGCUUCGUGAGUCGGACAUGAAAGCUCCCGGCUUAACUGGGAGAGGUUGUUCGAUACUGCGGGGCUUGAGGUUGGGAGAGGGACGUGGAAUUCCCGGUGUAGUGGUGGAAUGCGUAGAUAUCGGGAGGAACACCAGUGGCGCAAGCGGCGUCCUGGCCCACACCUGACGCUGAGGUACGAAAGCGUGGGUAGCAAACAGGAUUAGAUACCCUGGUAGUCCACGCUGUAAACGAUGUCAACUGGGUGUCGGUAGUUUUACACUAUCGGUGCCGAAGCUAACGCG
rnacentral:rRNA from 1 species